rnacentral:rRNA from 1 species
ACGGGUGAGUAACGCGUGGGAAUCUACCUUUUGCUACGGAAUAACUCAGGGAAACUUGUGCUAAUACCGUAUGUGCCCUUCGGGGGAAAGAUUUAUCGGCAAAGGAUGAGCCCGCGUUGGAUUAGCUAGUUGGUGGGGUAAAGGCCUACCAAGGCGACGAUCCAUAGCUGGUCUGAGAGGAUGAUCAGCCACACUGGGACUGAGACACGGCCCAGACUCCUACGGGAGGCAGCAGUGGGGAAUAUUGGACAAUGGGCGCAAGCCUGAUCCAGCCAUGCCGCGUGAGUGAUGACGGUCUUAGGAUUGUAAAGCUCUUUCACCGGUGAAGAUAAUGACGGUAACCGGAGAAGAAGCCCCGGCUAACUUCGUGCCAGCAGCCGCGGUAAUACGAAGGGGGCUAGCGUUGUUCGGAUUUACUGGGCGUAAAGCGCACGUAGGCGGACUUUUAAGUCAGGGGUGAAAUCCCAGAGCUCAACUCUGGAACUGCCUUUGAUACUGGAAGUCUUGAGUAUGGUAGAGGUGAGUGGAAUUCCGAGU